UGUCCAGUAGCACCUUAGAGACCAGCUAAGUUUGUUCUGGGUAUAAGCUUUAGUGUACAUGCACACUUCUUCAGAAACACAUGAAAGCUUAUACCCAAACUUAGUUGGUCUCUAAGGUGCUACUGGACA